UAAAAUUAGCAUUUUAGUAUGGCCCAUGCACAAGUAUUAGAGAAGAUUAGCAUGGACCCUGCACAAGGAUGACAUGCAAUAAUAAUAAAAUUUGGGUGUUUUU